rnacentral:pre_miRNA from 1 species
UGCUUUGCUGGAGCUGGUAAAAUGGAACCAGAUCAACUAACCAACGGAUUUGGUCCCCUUCAACCAGCUUGAGCUACG